GUUAUAGGGUCAAGCGAACAAGUGCAUGUGGUGGAUGCCUUGGCGAUCACAGGCGAUGAAGGACGCGGUAGCCUGCGAAAAGCUACGGGGAGCUGGCAAACAAGCUUUGAUCCGUAGAUGUCCGAAUGGGGAAACCCACUCCUUUUGGAGUAUCCAUGGCUGAAUACAUAGGCCAUGUGAAGCGAACGCGGUGAACUGAAACAUCUAAGUAACCGCAGGAAAAGAAAUCAACCGAGAUUCCCAAAGUAGUGGCGAGCGAAAUGGGAUGAGCCUUGCACUCUUUAUUUGUAUUGUUAGCCGAACGCUCUGGAAAGUGCGGCCAUAGCAGGUGAUAGCCCUGUAGGCGAAAACAGUAUGAAAGAACUAGGUGUGCGACAAGUAGGGCGGGACACGUGAAAUCCUGUCUGAAGAUGGGGGGACCAUCCUCCAAGGCUAAAUACUCGUGAUCGACCGAUAGUGAACCAGUACCGUGAGGGAAAGGCGAAAAGAACCCCGGGAGGGGAGUGAAAUAGAUCCUGAAACCGCAUGCAUACAAACAGUCGGAGCCUCGUAAGGGGUGACGGCGUACCUUUUGUAUAAUGGGUCAGCGACUUACGUUCAGUAGCAAGCUUAACCGUAUAGGGCAGGCGUAGCGAAAGCGAGUCCGAAUAGGGCGUUCAGUUGCUGGGCGUAGACCCGAAACCAGGUGAUCUAUCCAUGGCCAGGAUGAAGGUGCGGUAACACGUACUGGAGGUCCGAACCCACUAACGUUGAAAAGUUAGGGGAUGAGCUGUGGAUAGGGGUGAAAGGCUAAACAAACCUGGAAAUAGCUGGUUCUCUCCGAAAACUAUUUAGGUAGUGCCUCGUGUCUCACCUUCGGGGGUAGAGCACUGUCAUGGUUGGGGGGUCUAUUGCAGAUUACCCCGCCAUAGCAAACUCCGAAUACCGAAGAGUGCAAUCACGGGAGACAGACAUCGGGUGCUAACGUCCGGUGUCAAGAGGGAAACAACCCAGACCGCCAGCUAAGGUCCCCAAAUAUAGCUAAGUGGGAAACGAAGUGGGAAGGCUAAAACAGUCAGGAGGUUGGCUUAGAAGCAGCCACCCUUUAAAGAAAGCGUAAUAGCUCACUGAUCGAGUCGUCCUGCGCGGAAGAUGUAACGGGGCUAAGCUAUAUACCGAAGCUGCGGAUGCG
rnacentral:rRNA from 1 species